UACGUAGGGUGCAAGCAUUAAUCGGAUUUAUUGGGCGUAAAGGGCGCGUAGGCUGGAUCGUAAGUCAGAUGUGAAAUCCCGGGGCUCAACCCCGGAACAGCAUUUGAAACUGUGAUCCUAGAGGAUAGGCGGAGAAAAUGGAAUUCCACAAGUAGCGGUGAAAUGCGUAGAUAUGUGGAAGAACACCGGUGGCGAAGGCGAUUUUCUAGCUUAGACCUGACGCUGAGGCGCGAAAGUUAGGGGAGCAAACAGG
rnacentral:rRNA from 1 species